CCAAAAACGACGUCGCCCGUACUCGUCGGGACUUCGCACUUUGGCCCUGCGAAGUCCCUUGAAACAAGAAUUUGACAAAUUGUGAGCUUAUUAGGGUUCAUUUUUACGAUCCAAAAUGUUUAUAUUGAAGAUAUUUUGAUGAAGACAAACCUGGAAGCAGAUUUCAUGAAUCGAAUUCUUUUUGAUAUAUAAUCGGAGAUGAUAAGUGCCAAUUUGUUUUUGUGAAAAUAAACUUGGCUGUACUGUAUCAAACCCAUUUCUACAAAGAGAAAGUUUGUUUUGAAUUUGUCAAAUUGUGAUCUCGUUUCGAUUUGUCUCCAGGAUCGAAAUCGCUCAACUUGUAGAGCUUGUCAAGAAGAUCCAUGGUGUCAUAGAUAAUAUGAAUCUAAUGCUGAAUGAUUCAUAAUCGAAGACGAUCAAAGUGAAUUUCUUGUUAUGAAAAUAGAUUUGGCCACACUGUAUCAUUUAAGCUAAUAUACUCAACCCGACGGAGGGACUUCGUGGGACGUCGCCGACGGAGAGGUUGUCCAGCGGAGAAGGAUUCUCCCUACAUUGUAAAACAUCACUUCUAAUCUUCUAAUCCGUCAACACAAUCUGAUACCCAGAGCUUUUGCGAGCAUUUGUUUUUGCUAGAGCUUUUUAGGUUCUUAAUUAGAACGAAAAGGAUUGCUCUCAGUUCGGACUUGAUCCCUUGAAGUUACCCCUUCUUUGUGUGAACUUCCAGUUUUCCUUCUACUUACAUAGUGAAUGUGGACAUAAAGUUAUAGAAGAAAAGAGGGAGAUAAAGUCUCCCCUUUUUGAAGCUUGUUGAAGUUUCAAAGCAAGCUCGAAUAGGUUAAUACUCUGCUCGUCUUGCUUGUGAUAUAUGAAAUUUUAAACUCCUCGUGUUCGGCUCGAUUAAAACUCAUUUUAGAUGGAAGACUUGGAUUCAGUAGUAGAUCGACAUCAAUUACUGGGUAAAUGUGCUUUUCUAGAAGUAUAAUUGACAACUUGUACUUUUUUGCGACAAACAAUGGUGGAAAUGUUUCCAACUUAGGUCCACAGAUGCAGCUUACAACAAGAUCAGUACUGGAAUGCUUUCCAGACAUGGAGAUCCCGACACUCUGAUUAUCAGUCGAAAGGAAUAUCAGAUUGGUAGCGAUGGGAAUUUGCAAGGAGUCAGCCUCUUCAUAAACAUGGAACCUAAAACUAGGCAUUUGGUAAGUGAACCCCAUGAUCACUGUCUUUUGGUUCUCACACUCGAUUAAAGUGCAGCAUUGCGAAGGAGACUUUGUACACUAUGUAACGCUCAAAUAGGAGGCAAUAACAUGGAUCAUAAUGAUCAGUUUUAUGAAUGGGGUUGAAGAAUAUGCAUUUUACUUCUCCCUGACAGGGUUUGCAAGUAUGAAGCUCUUUUUUUUUGGUUGUUGGACGAGUAGUCCAUCUCGAAACACAUGCCGUUCUAUAAAUUGUUCACUUAGGAAAACAAAGAAGGAAGUUUUUAGUAUGUUAUGUUGCACAUUCGACAGAAGAGUCUUAGAAAGCAUGACACCUACGACAAUAACUUUAAGUUUUUGGAGAAUGUCAGCUACUCUCUCUCCUAUGUCUGUCUGGACAAUUUUCCGUGGUUUCCAUGAUCUUAAGCUGCCAAAUUGACUCAGUAUACUUUCUUAAAUUUUAAGGUUGUUGUCUUGUGUAGAGGCCCUAGAGGGUGGUCAGUGGUCUAGCUGCUCGUGCUGGUAUACAUGAAGGGGUUGAGUUAGUUGAGAUAAAUGGUGUGUACCAAUCACAUUGUCUCCUUGCCAGCUCAUGAAUCUGAAUAAAGUUCUCUGGUUUUAAAGGUGUUUAGCAAACCAAAAUAAGCCUUGUUUCCAUUCAAAGGGGUUGGCCUUUCUAUUUGCUGAGAAUGAGCGAUUUUAUUAUCUUGUAAUCUGACUUGGUUCGAAUUAACUGAUAGGCAUUUGUGAAACUCUCAAGUUAUAUGGCUUUUGAGAAAGUACCAUUAAAAGUUUGGUGACUGCAAUGGAUUUACAUUAUUAAGUGGCUGUCAUUAACAUCUGAAAUUUGCUAUAUUAACUAUCCCAGAUUUUCUUGAAAUUUGCAUGUUUAAAUUGGGGAAAUUGUCAACUGUUUUGUGUGUAUUACUGUGCGAGCUGUUGCGGAGCACUGGUUUUUGCUAGAGAUUUAUUAGGUUCUUAGAAUGGAAAUGAUUGGUUUCAGUUUGGACUUCAUCCCUUGAAGAUAACCUUUUUGUGUGAACUUCCAGUUUUCCUUCUACCUACAUAAUUAAUAUGAACAGGGGAGAAAAAUAUAGAAGAUAAGAGGGAGAGUAAAGACUUCACUUUUUGAAGCUCGUUAAAGUUUCAGAACCAAGCUCGAGUACGCUACUACUCGGAUCGUCUUGCUUAUAAUUUAUGAAAAGUACAAACUACUCAGAGAUCGGCUCGCGUUCGGGGUCGAUUAAGACAUGUCGGGGAUAAUGAUUAAAUUUUCUUCUCCCUAUCUCUAUUGCUCUCUCUAUCGCAAUCUCAGUUAUCGCAGUCUCAGUUUACCUUUGCACUUGAAGCUUGAUUUUCGUGAGUUAGAUGGGUUAAAGCCUGCUCAUGUGCUUAACAUGCCUUCCUAUCAUUUCAAGGAAACUAUCUUGGUGCAAGAGAAAACUCUGAAAAGAGACCUUCAUGUGGCUUCAGAUGUUGCACGUAAAGAUAUCCAUGUGGACCUAUUUGAGUCCACCAGUGCAAUUUUUUUUUUUUUAUUCUUCUUUGGUAGUGUAUUGAAUGUUACGCAUAUAUCUACUACAUAAUCAUGGCAAUCCUGAAAACUUAUUCAGCUGCCGCAAUGUUUCUUAAUAACCUCAUGUUAGGUGUACCCUUUCUUAUGUACUUGUUGGAUAACCCUUGUUGUCAUCGUAUUAUAAAACCUUGACUUACAGUAAUGAUUCGAGAUAGUUGGCAUGUGACAUAGAAAGAAAACUUUGUGCUUCUAUCUACUUUCCUCCAAUUCCAUUCCACAUCUUAUUUGGCAAUAGUUUGUUGAAUGCUAGGCAUUUAUCUUUCAGACUGACAACUUGGGAAUGUGCACCUCCUCAAGUUCCUUAUAGCUCCCAAGGUCAAACAGUACCUUUCUACCUUUCUUAGGGAAGUGUUCGGCGGUUCUUUUCUAAGGUCAUAUUCGCAUAGCUAUAUCCUGUUGCGGUUAGCCUCUGUUUCCAAAUUUGUUAGGAUGAGUCAGUAAUAUCUCUUGUUCAAUAGCAUGUCCAUCUUUAUCUUUCUCAUCUUCACAUGCCUACUUGGUCCUUUUCAAGCUUGAAUAUGAGCACAAAGCAAUUCUUUUUUCUUGUUGUAAGUAAUACUGCAGGCAACUCCAUUCAUGCUUUCCAAAGACAAGAUAGAGCUGCAGUUUGCAACAAACUGCUAAGGUAAGAUAACUACUUGUAGGUACAAAUUCUCGAACAUAGUGGUACAUUUAUUUAAAUGCCUUGAAUGCUACAUCUUUUGAGUUUGGUCACUUCUAGCAUUGCCGUUUUCAGAAUCUUGUUUCUUCUGCAUAAGUUAGAAUACGAUGCUUGAUGGAAGUUUUUUUUAUUUAAAUGCCUUGAAUGCUACAUCUUUUGACUUUGGUCACUUCUGGCAUUGCCGUUUUCAGAAUCUUGUUUCUUCUGCAUUAGUUAGAAAUACGAUGCUUGAUGGAAGUUUUUCAGCUAGUUUUUGCAUUUGAAACAUUUUUCGUUUUUUGCUGUCACUUUUGAUGGUUAAGUCUUGGUUAAGCGAAUUAAGAAGGGUAAGUGGUUAAGAACUUCACUGAUUGGUUUAAUAGGGUCAGUGAUUUAAGAAGUUCUGUCGUCUUCUUCCAUCACAUUUUCUUUUGACUGAUCUGUUCGUAUGCUUUGCUAAUCAUAUUGCUUGGUACAGUCGUUGAAGCUUGGGCUACUGCCAAGUUUGAGAAUGUAGGUCCAAGUUGGAGGCAACCGUGGUGUAAGUUGUGCUGAAGAUGAGGUUCACACCCAGCCGUACACUUGUAAAACCCUGUAUUUAUGGGACUAGUCCGACUAGUAAUUGUGAAGGAUUUUCAUUGUUGUUUAUUUUUUCCCUCUUUCUUUUCUGUUUAGCUAAUGCUUUAGGAGAGUUAUCAUAAUACAUCCAUAGCAUGAAAUGGAAAAUUCAAGAACUGACGGUGUUGCUUCUGUUUCAUGCAUGCGGUGGCAUUCUGUAGGUUUUAUGCAUUGAUAAGAGUCCAGAUGGAAAAUUCAAGGUUUCGAACGCCAACCUCCCAAAUGGAAGUAUGAGAGUCCAGACUACAAGCAGUUGGUAGCUGUAGUAAUCUUGUGUCUUGGGAUCCAGACUACAAGCAGUUGGUAGAAAAGUACUACAAAACGGUUGUAAAUCAGAAGUUCGAAUUCCACCACCAAGAAGUUAAUCACCAAAAGUCAAAGUUACGAUUCAUAAUCCCUACGUUGCUAGGAGUGUUAAAGCCUUAGCUAUCUUUUGUUUGUUAAAGCAUUAGCUAUCUUUAUAUUUGAAACAAAUAUGUAUGUAGCUUUUUCAUUUACAUUGUGGUAUUGGUCAUGAAAUGGAAGUUUCGACCUAUGAAAUGGAGAGAAUUCAGAUGACAUAAUAAUA